AAGUCGUAACAAGGUUUCCGUAGGUGAACCUGCGGAAGGAUCAUUAAUGAAAUUCAAGGAUGCUCUUUUUAGAGGUCCGACCAAUAUCAUUUUCCAACACUGUGAACUCACUACUCUUUUUACACCCAUUUUUAAAACACAAAAGUCUAUAAGAAUGUAAAAGUCUCUUAAUUGAGCAUAAAGUUAUAAUAAAA
rnacentral:misc_RNA from 1 species